UACGGGGGGGGCAAGCGUUGUUCGGAAUUACUGGGCGUAAAGGGCUCGUAGGCGGCCAACUAAGUCAGACGUGAAAUCCCCAGGCUCAACCUGGGAACUGCGUCUGAUACUGGAUGGCUUGAAUUCGGGAGAGGGAUGCAGAAUUCCAGGUGUAGCGGUGAAAUGCGUAGAUACCUGGAGGAAUACCGGUGGCGAAGGCGGCAUCCUGGACCGACAUUGACGCUGAGGAGCGAAAGCUAGGGGAGCAAACGGG
rnacentral:rRNA from 1 species